AUUUAUAUAGUUUAAAUAAAACAUUACAUUUUCACUGUAAAGAUAAUAUUUUUAUAUUUAUAAAUA
rnacentral:tRNA from 1 species